UGAACCAAAGUGAUACUUAGU
rnacentral:miRNA from 1 species